ACGGCUGAGUAACACGUAGGAACGUACCCCAAAGUGAGGGAUAAGCACCAGAAAUGGUGUCUAAUACCGCAUGUGGCCUUCGGGCUAAAGCUACGGCGCUUUGGGAACGGCCUGCGCAUGAUUAGCUUGUUGGUAAGGUAAUGGCUUACCAAGGCGACGAUCAUUAGCUGGUCUGAGAGGAUGAUCAGCCAGACUGGGACUGAGAACGGCCCAGACUCCUACGGGAGGCAGCAGUAGGGAAUUUUCCACAAUGGGCGAAAGCCUGAUGGAGCAACGCCGCGUGCAGGAUGAAUGUCUUCGGAUUGUAAACUGCUUUUAUAUGUGACGAUUAUGACGGUAGCAUAUGAAUAAGGAUCGGCUAACUCCGUGCCAGCAGCCGCGG
rnacentral:rRNA from 1 species